rnacentral:rRNA from 1 species
AUGGCGCUCCAAGCAUCGCUACCUUCCGCGUUCCUCGCGGCCCCGACCAUUACCCACGCUUCUUGUCCGCGGCAGUUCAAAUUGCGUGCGAGCGCUGCGGCCGCGGCUAGCAGCGCCAGCGCCGGCGACGGGAAGGUGGUGACGAGGAAGGAGCCUACGACGGGCGCGUGGAAGAUCGAGUACUCCAGCGAGAAGCCGGAGACGCCGCUGCUCGACACCAUCAACUACCCCGUCCACAUGAAAAACCUCUCCACCACGGACUUGGAGCAGCUGUCUGCGGAGCUGCGGGCAGAGAUCGUGCACACGGUGUCCAAGACCGGCGGCCACCUGAGCGCGAGCCUGGGGGUGGUGGAGCUCUCGGUGGCGCUCCACCACGUGUUCGACACGCCGGAGGACAAGAUCAUCUGGGACGUCGGCCACCAGGCCUACCCACACAAGAUCCUCACGGGGCGUCGCUCGCGGAUGCACACCAUCCGCAAGACCUCCGGCCUCGCCGGGUUCCCGAAGCGUGACGAGAGCGCGCACGAUGCAUUCGGCGUCGGGCACAGCUCCACGAGCAUCUCCGCGGCGCUCGGUAUGGCCGUUGCCCGCGACCUCCAGGGCAAGAAGAACCACGUCAUCUCCGUGAUCGGAGACGGCGCCAUGACUGCCGGACAGGCCUACGAGGCCAUGAACAACUCCGGCUUCCUCGACUCCAACAUGAUCGUCGUCCUCAAUGAUAACAAGCAGGUCUCUCUCCCGACCGCCACCCUUGAUGGUCCCUCCAAGCCCGUGGGCGCACUCAGCAAGGCGCUCACCAAGCUCCAGUCCAGCACCAAGUUCCGGCGGCUUCGGGAGGCCGCCAAGACCAUCACCAAGCAGAUCGGCGGCUCGACGCACGAGGUGGCCGCCAAGGUUGAUGAGUACGCGCGUGGCAUGAUCAGUGCCUCGGGAUCAACGCUCUUCGAGGAGCUCGGGCUCUACUACAUCGGCCCUGUCGACGGUCACAGCCUCGAGGACCUCGUCACCAUCUUCGAGAAGGUCAAGUCCAUGCCGGCGCCCGGGCCCGUGCUCAUCCACAUCGUGACGGAGAAAGGGAAGGGGUACCCACCGGCGGAGGCCGCCGCCGACAAGAUGCACGGCGUGGUCAAGUUUGACCCGACCACGGGGAAGCAGUUCAAGACCAAGAGCCCCACGCUGUCGUACACGCAGUACUUCGCUGAGUCGCUAAUUCGGGAGGCGGAGGGGGACGACAAGGUGGUGGCGAUCCAUGCAGCCAUGGGAGGCGGCACGGGGCUUAACUACUUCCAGAAGCGGUUCCCGGAACGGUGCUUCGACGUGGGCAUUGCGGAGCAGCACGCCGUGACUUUCGCUGCGGGGCUCGCCGCCGAGGGGAUGAAACCGUUCUGUGCCAUCUACUCGUCGUUCCUGCAACGAGGGUACGACCAGGUGGUGCACGACGUGGACCUGCAGCGGCUGCCGGUGCGCUUCGCCAUGGACAGGGCGGGACUCGUCGGCGCAGACGGCCCUACCCACUGCGGCGCGUUUGACGUGACAUACAUGGCAUGCCUGCCCAACAUGGUGGUCAUGGCACCUGCCGACGAGGCGGAGCUCAUGCACAUGGUCGCCACCGCCAACGCCAUCGACGAUCGGCCAAGCUGUUUCCGCUUCCCCCGCGGCAACGGCAUUGGCGCCGUGCUUCCUCUCAACAACAGAGGCACCCCCAUUCAGGUAGGCAAGGGGAGGGUACUCGUCAGCGGCAACAGGGUAGCCCUGCUAGGAUAUGGCACCAUGGUGCAGGCCUGCCUGAAGGCGGCGGAGGCGCUGAAGGAGCAUGACUUGUUCAUCACCGUCGUGGACGCCCGCUUCUGCAAGCCGCUGGACACGGAGCUCAUCCGUGAGCUCGCUGCCGAGCAUGAGAUCCUCAUCACCGCCGAGGAGGGCUCCAUCGGGGGCUUCGGCUCCCACGUGGCGCACUACCUCAGCCUCAACGGCCUCCUCGACGGCCCCCUCAAGCUGAGAUCGAUGUUCCUGCCGGACCGAUACAUUGACCACGGCGCCGCGGAGGACCAGAUGGAGGCGGCCGGGCUGACGCCGAGGCACAUCGCCGCCACGGUGCUGUCCCUGGUGGGUCGGCCAGUGGAGGCGCUCCGCCUCAAGUGA